rnacentral:rRNA from 1 species
AUUGAACGCUGGCGGCAGGCCUAACACAUGCAAGUCGAGCGGAUGAAGGGAGCUUGCUCCUGGAUUCAGCGGCGGACGGGUGAGUAAUGCCUAGGAAUCUGCCUGAUAGUGGGGGAUAACGUCCGGAAACGGGCGCUAAUACCGCAUACGUCCUGAGGGAGAAAGUGGGGGAUCUUCGGACCUCACGCUAUCAGAUGAGCCUAGGUCGGAUUAGCUAGUUGGUGGGGUAAAGGCCUACCAAGGCGACGAUCCGUAACUGGUCUGAGAGGAUGAUCAGUCACACUGGAACUGAGACACGGUCCAGACUCCUACGGGAGGCAGCAGUGGGGAAUAUUGGACAAUGGGCGAAAGCCUGAUCCAGCCAUGCCGCGUGUGUGAAGAAGGUCUUCGGAUUGUAAAGCACUUUAAGUUGGGAGGAAGGGCAGUAAGUUAAUACCUUGCUGUUUUGGCGUUACCAACAGAAUAAGCACCGGCUAACUUCGUG